rnacentral:lncRNA from 1 species
UUUUUUUUGAAGAGAAAAAGUCCAAAAAAAAACGGCUGUUCCUUUGGAGAAAUUCUGAAAUAGCUUAUAAUUCUUGGGGUUUUUUCGAUAAACUACUGAAUAUUUUGCUUGGGGUUUGGUUAUUCUAGUUAUAAUAGUCAGUUGAAGUCGCUGAAAAUUUGAUAGUUUUGCAUUCUGGGCUGAAAAUGAGUUGAAUUCUGGAUAUUUUAAAGCUGGGUUGGGUGUACUAUUUGGAAAACACUUUUAUACUGCUGGGUUGAGUCAAUUUCUACUGCUAUUUCUCCUGCUGAAUCACUGCUCCUGCUGUUUAUUGCUAUUGUUGUUUUCUUCUUGAUCUCCAAUUUGGUUUCUGAUUCUGUUUUUGCUAUAUUCAGGUAUGUACUGACUCCUGAAUAGCAUGUGAAAUGCAAAGAUGAAAGUCAUGUAACCAAGCUUGAAGAGAAUUGAUAAUUGCCACGUUUUCCUUUGUCAAAGGAAUGCUAGAGUUCAUUCUAAUUUCUUCAUAUGUUUCUUCAGUUUAGUUCAUCGUGUAUAAUCAAUCAUCUCAUUAAUGUUGUCCUUCAUUUUAAGGUUUGGAUUCAGGUUUGCUUGAAUGUAGUGAUUCAGGGCUAUUUGGACCUUUCAAUGUGUUAUUGAUUAAGGACUAUGGCUAUCAGCUGAUUAGUUGAAACUGUUUGGCUAUGGAUGAGUCUUUCAUGGCCAUGAUUCAAAUGUGUUAGUUCAGAUUUUUGGGGUCCAACACAAUCGAUUCAUAUUCUGCUUUCCAUUUAGUCUUUAAAACCUGUUUUCUUAUGGUUUGAAGCAUAGCUUAGUAACUUCAGGAGUUUGUUGUUCAAACCUUCCUCUUUGUUCAUGCGAUGUUUUGUUUCAAUAAGGGAUUUCAAAUGGAAGUCGAUUCUGGUUUUGUUUUGAGAAUGUCUCAGCCUAGUAUAGUUCUUCGCAUAUUUCUUUUAACAAGUUGAAACCAUAUGGUUGUUUAAGUGUGCUAGUGUUAAAUCAGAAUUCAGCAUGCGAAUAAAGUCUACUCGGGACUUCAAAUUGUUCUCUUUUGUUGGAAAUACAAAUGGAGGAUUUAAAAGGCUGAAAUAGUAUGUUGUUAGUAGUUGUUUUGUUUAAAUUCUAAAUUUCUCACUACAACAUGGAUUUCCUGCAACGAUUGAUGUGUAAAACACUGACUCGGGCUACAAUUUGGGCCUAGUUGUGCUGCGUUCCCUUUGCUGGGUGCUUCCAGAUCCGGGCUUCAUAUUGGAGCCCAUUUAUGGUCUCUUAAUUAUUGAUAGGAUGGUCAUGGGGGGAACAAUGGGUCCAUAACUUCUUUGGUUUUUUUGUGAGUGCAGAUUAUUCACAUUGGGUCUAAAAUUUUCACAUUAAUGGUUGGAAAUUUCUCAUGUCGUUUAAUUAAUUGGCAAGUCCUUUAAAUUAAUUGAGGUACGCCGUGCCAAAUAAAAUCUCAAAAUGCAUGGCCCUCAUUUAAUUAAUAUUUUAAUCCUUUAGAAAUCGAGGUGUGCCAUUUAGUUGAAUUUUCCAUGGCCCUCGCAAAGUUGAAAGAGCGUAGUUGCUUUAGGCGCGCUAUUUAAAAAUUACUUUCCUAAACUCGGAUGUGAAUUUCAUGUGACCCAAAUCCAAAUCUUAACAACGUUAAAUAAAAUAUGUCUCGGAUUGCGGGUGCAUUUCAUGUGGCUUGGUCCAAAGACGUGCUUUAGAUAACGAUGAAAUUUUCCUUAAAAUAAUUAAAAGCGGUUAGAAAGUUAAAAUAUACCAUAGGCUAAAACAUGUAUUAAAAUCAGAUAAUAGGCCAAUUGUAACAGCUGAGCGACCGUGCUAGAACCACGGAACCCGGAAAUGCCUAACACCUUCUCCCAGGAUAACAGAAUUCCUUAUACGGAUUUCUGUGUUCGCAGACUGUAAUACAGAGUCAAUCCUUUCUCGAUUCGGGAUUUAAAACCAGUGACUUGGGACACCAUAAAUUAUCCCAAGUGGCAACUCUAAAUUUGUAAUAAAAUAAUUCCGUUUCGAUUGUCACUUUAAGUUGGAAAAAAACUCCCUUAUACCAUUCCGGGGGUUUAGGAAAAAAGAGGUGUGACAGUCAUCCACUAAGUGGGCCACCCCCACUAAAAGUUUUCUAUAACUAGUGAGAUGUUUACUCCUUAGUAACAAAAUGAUUACAAAUGAAGAAUUGAAUUGAAUCACUUAUAAAGAGUGGGAUGACCGUGAGAUCAUCAUAGAACACAAUAAUCCCAUACCAAAACAAUGUGAAUUCAUAUGUAUCUCUUAUGUAAAGAGAGUGGGUUCAGGAAGUAAAACAAUUUCAUACCAAAUAGAGAUAACAUUGGUUGUUGAUUCUGUAAGACAUGAAUUGUAAAUUCUAAGAGAAUCGGUCCAGGUAUGUUAAGACUAAGCUCUUCCUUCAUUUUAGCAUGAUGUCAUUACACAAGUUUAAUAACGAAGCAUAAAGAAAAAUUCAUAUCCCGAAAUUUACGUAUAUUUUGCUAGUCUCACAAGUUACAAUAUUCUCUUUAUCGGGACUUCAUAUUCAUUUGAGUAUUUCAUUCGUCCAGUCAAGAAAGUAGAGAGUUUAUAUAUACAGUAUUAAAGUAUUUUCAUUACCAUCGAGCUAUACUCGAUGGGCAGGCCCCUAUUGGGCAACCUAUGAUCAGAUGGUAAGUUAUAUACCGAGCCUACUGUGGUCGAGUGCCUAUGAGCGAGCCCAGUUGGUCGAGAUACGAAGCCUAGUAUGGCUGAGCGCCUAUGCGUGAGCCUACUACGGUAGAGCAGUUAUAUGUAUAUCGAGCCUUAUAGCGCCGGACAUCUAUUUUACUUACUAUAUUGAGAGAGUUGAGUCAGUAUCAACAGGUAAGUAUAUCUUCAGAUUAUCUUUGACUUCCAGCAUACUUGCAGUUAUUAUAUUAUUAGUUCAGUUUCAGCUUUUAGUAUAUUGCCUUACAAACUUAGUAUAUUAUUUCGUACUAACGUCCCUUUUUUGGGGGCACUGCAUUUCAUGCGUGCAGGUCAGACAGACAGACGGGUAGGCCUACUCAAUAAGUGUUUCUCGAGUUCAGCUUGGUUGGUAAGCUCCAUGACUUUCGGAGUUUCCGGGUCUAGAGCCUUAUAUACAUCUUUUAUAUAUAUGUAUAAAUAUUAUGAGUAGGUUGGGGAGCUAUUCCGAUCAUAGUAUAUCCAUCAGUAGAGGCUUGUAGACAUAUCCUGUCAAUUAGUGCAAUAUGUUGGGCUUGCAGGCCUUGUAUGUAUAUUUGGUUGGUUUGUCAGCUGUAAUAGUUAUGAUGGCCUUGUCGGCCCAGUUAUAUAUUGACAUUUAGUCAGUGUCACACCUCCUUUUUGCGCGCCCCGCCCCGAAGGGUUAAAUGCGCAGGUGGGGUUUUUCCAAUUUAAGUGACA